AUUGAACGCUGGCGGCAUGCUUUACACAUGCAAGUCGAACGGCAGCGCGGGCUUCGGCCUGGCGGCGAGUGGCGAACGGGGGAGUAAUGCAUCGGAACGUGCACUGAAGUGGGGGAUAGGCCGGCGAAAGCCGGAUUAAUACCGCAUACGACCUGAGGGUGAAAGUGGGGGGGCGAAAGGUCUCGUGCUAUUGGAGCGGGCGAUGUCGGAUUAGCUAGUUGGUGGGGUAAAGGCUUACCAAGGCGACGAGCCUUAGCUGGUCUGAGAGGACGACCAGACAGACGGUGAGUGAGACAGAGCCGAGACUCCUGCGCGGGGAAGCAGUGGAGAAUUUUGGGCGAUGGGGGCGUGCCUGAUCCAGCCAUGCCGCGGGAGGGAUGAAGGCCUUCUGGUUGUAGACCGAUUUUGUUCGGGAAGAUAUCCUGUGGGCUAAUACCCCGGGGUGAUGACGGUACCGGAAGAAUAAGCACCGGCUAACUACGUG
rnacentral:rRNA from 1 species